CAGAGCCGCGGUAAUACAGAGGGUGCGAGCGUUAAUCGGAUUUACUGGGCGUAAAGCGUGCGUAGGCGGCUUUUUAAGUCGGAUGUGAAAUCCCUGAGCUUAACUUAGGAAUUGCAUUCGAUACUGGGAAGCUAGAGUAUGGGAGAGGAUGGUAGAAUUCCAGGUGUAGCGGUGAAAUGCGUAGAGAUCUGGAGGAAUACCGAUGGCGAAGGCAGCCAUCUGGCCUAAUACUGACGCUGAGGUACGAAAGCAUGGGGAGCAAACAGGAUUAGAUACCCCAGUAGUCCCUGUCUCUUAUACA
rnacentral:rRNA from 1 species